rnacentral:rRNA from 1 species
UACGUAGGGUGCAAGCGUUAAUCGGAAUUACUGGGCGUAAAGCGUGCGCAGGCGGUUUUGUAAGUCUGUCGUGAAAUCCCCGGGCUCAACCUGGGAAUUGCGAUGGAGACUGCAAGGCUAGAAUCUGGCAGAGGGGGGUAGAAUUCCACGUGUAGCAGUGAAAUGCGUAGAGAUGUGGAGGAACACCGAUGGCGAAGGCAGCCCCCUGGGUCAAGACUGACGCUCAUGCACGAAAGCGUGGGGAGCAAACAGG